rnacentral:piRNA from 1 species
UGGGAUUUACCUCAUACAUAAACUCAGGAC